UACAGGGGGUGCAAACGUUGCUCGGAAUUAUUGGGCGUAAAGCGCACGUAGGCGGUUUGUUAUGUCGGAUGUGAAAGCCCUUGGCUCAACUGAGGAAGUGCAUCCGAAACUGGCAAGCUAGAGUAUGUAAGAGGGUCGCGGAAUUCCCGGUGUAGAGGUGAAAUUCGUAGAUAUCGGGAGGAACACCGGUGGCGAAGGCGGCCUUCUGGACGGUGACUGACGCUGAGACGCGAAAGCGUGGGGAGCAAACAGG
rnacentral:rRNA from 1 species